UACGUAGGGGGCUAGCGUUGCUCGGAAUCACUGGGCGUAAAGCGCACGUAGGCGGAUUGCUAAGUCAGGGGUGAAAUCCUGGAGCUCAACUCCAGAACUGCCCUUGAUACUGGCGACCUUGAGUCCGGGAGAGGUGAGUGGAACUGCGAGUGUAGAGGUGAAAUUCGUAGAUAUUCGCAAGAACACCAGUGGCGAAGGCGGCUCACUGGCCCGGUACUGACGCUGAGGUGCGAAAGCGUGGGGAGCAAACAGG
rnacentral:rRNA from 1 species